CUGACUUGCAGUUUGAUACCCUAAAGAAUUCUUCUGCACAUAGAGCAGAUGUUAUAAUGUUCUUAGCCUUAGCAUUAUAACCUACCUUCUUUUUGUCGUCGUCAGACCAGUCGGCUCUAGGCUUGAGAAUCAUUGAGUCAUUUGUUCCUGCAAUCUUGGGAAUAUAUGGACCGUUUUCAACAGCGUCAAGGAUGUCUAUGCCACUGGCUUCCAGGAAUAUCAGCAUCAUGUGCUUCCAGUACAUAUAAGUUGUUCCGUUGAAUGCUGGAGGUCUUGCUAACGAUGCG
rnacentral:lncRNA from 1 species